UGGAUAUGGAAUUGGCGGAAAUAAUAGUUAUAGUGGAGACAAUAGAGAUGGAGGAUAUGGUCAUCGAUACUGUAAUCCAGGUAAUAUAGGACCCACAUCUCAAUCCGAAUAUAAAAGUGGACAACAAUAUCAAAGAGGAGGUUCCAGUGGUCGAGGAAGAGGAGGUAGAGUUCAGGGAGGAUGGAAUCAAGGAAUAGAUAAUUAUCAACGUGGCGGAUAUAAUCGUGGUGGAGGCCAAGGAGGACGACAAUAUUAAAAUAUUUUGUGUAAUGUAUUUAUUAUGAUUGUAAUAUUAAUAGUAAAAGAUAUUUGCAUCACAGAGCAUAAUAAUUAAUAUCAAUGAAUUUCUAUAUAACAAAUGCUUAAAAUUUAUAUAUCUAACAUUGUUUUUAAACAUUAUAUGUUAUAAAAUGCAAAUAUUAAUUCUAAACUAAAAAUGGAUAAGAAACAUUGAUAUUAUUCAUAAAUAAUUACUCUUAUGUGAAUUAAAAUAAUCAUUGUAUCCUAUUUUAUAAGACUUUCUUGUGUUCUGAACAUUAAUUUUGGCUAUGUAUUUGUUUGAAUUUUGUAAAUAUGCAUUCUUUUGUAUAAUGAAGAAAUAGUGAAUAUAUUGAAAUUAAUCUAUACAAUGUAAUAUGUAAGAAAGCAAAAUUUAUUGUUUAAAUUAUUUAAUUGUAUAAUAUAUACCAAAUAUAUAUGUAUAUAUUAUAA